rnacentral:rRNA from 1 species
ACGGGGCGCAGCAGGCGCGAAAACUUCACACUGGGGGGAACCCCGAUGAGGGAAUUCCUAGUGCUAGGACAUUUGUUCUAGCUUUUCUCAAGCGUAGAUAACUUGAGGAAUAAGGGCUGGGUAAGACGGGUGCCAGCAGCCGCGGUAAUA